AUACGUAGGUGGCAAGCGUUGUCCGGAAUUAUUGGGCGUAAAGCGCGCGCAGGCGGUUCCUUAAGUCUGAUGUGAAAGCCCCCGGCUCAACCGGGGAGGGUCAUUGGAAACUGGGGAACUUGAGUGCAGAAGAGGAUAGUGGAAUUCCAAGUGUAGCGGUGAAAUGCGUAGAGAUUUGGAGGAACACCAGUGGCGAAGGCGAGUGUCUGGUCUGUAACUGACCCUGAGGCGGGAAAGGGUGGGGAGCAAACAGGAUUAAGUACCCGGGUAGUCCACGCCGUAAACGAUGAGUGCUAAGUGUUGGGGGGUUUCCGCCCCUCAGUGCUGCAGCUAACGCAUUAAGCACUCCGCCUGGGGAGUACGGUCGCAAGACUGAAACUCAAAUGAAUUGUCGGGG
rnacentral:rRNA from 1 species